rnacentral:rRNA from 1 species
GUAUACAGCCAUACUGUCCUGAAUAUUCCCUGUCUUAUUUGAUCUUGGAAGCUAAGAAGGACUAUGCCUUCUUGGUACUUGGAUGGGAGACAUAUAAGGUUCUUUAACA